CACACAGGUCAUCAACAUGGGACUCCCACACAGGUCAUCAACAUGGGACUCCCACACAAGUCAUCAACAUGGGACUCCCACACAGGUCAUCAACAUGGGACUCCCACACAAGUCAUCAACAUGGGACUCCCACACAAGUCAUCAACAUGGGACUCCCACACAGGUCAUCAACAUGGGACUCCCACACAAGUCAUCAACAUUGGACUCCCACACAAGUCAUCAACACGGGACUCCCACACAGGUCAUCAACAUGGGACUCCCACACAAGUCAUCAACAUGGGACUCCCACACAAGUCAUCAACAUGGGACUCCCACACAGGUCAUCAACAUGGGACUCCCACACAAGUCAUCAACACGGGACUCCCACACAAGUCAUCAACAUGGGACUCCCACACAGGUCAUCAACAUGGGACUCCCACACAGGUCAUCAACACGGGACUCCCACACAAGUCAUCAACAUGGGACUCCCACACAGGUCAUCAACACGGGACUCCCACACAAGUCAUCA
ensembl:lncRNA